rnacentral:lncRNA from 10 species
UCCUCAGUCUGCCCACUAUGCACCUAUUAACUCAUCAGAUCUGCAUCUCUAGAUUCAUCUCCUCUAUGCCAGGUAUUAUACCAGUCAACACUUUAUGUAUUUCAUCCUCAUGACAACUCCACAUGCUCCAUGGGAGCUUAAAAGCCAACAUCCUACAAUCAUGAUGAAAACCGGCAGCCUGGCAGUCAGUGGAGAGGGCAGAAUGAGGUUGGA